GACGAACGCUGGCGGCGUGCUUAACACAUGCAAGUCGAGCGAGUGGAUUCCCUUCGGGUAUGAAGCUAGCGGCGGACGGGUGAGUAACACGUGGGCAACCUGCCUUAUAGAGGGGGAGAGCCUUCCGAAAGGAAGAUUAAUACCGCAUAACAUCAGAUUAUCGCAUGGUAGACUGAUCAAAGGAGCAAUCCGCUAUGAGAUGGACCCGCGUCGCAUUAGCUAGUUGGUAAGGGAAUGGCUUACCAAGGCGACGAUGCGUAGCCGACCUGAGAGGGUGAUCGGCCACAUUGGGACUGAGACACGGCCCAGACUCAUACGGGAGGUAGCAGUGGGGAAUAUUGCACAAUGGGGGAAACCCUGAUGCAGCAACGCCGCGUGAGUGAUGACGGUCUUCGGAUUGUAAAACUCUGUCUUUGGGGACGAUAAUGACGGUACCCAAGGAGGAAGCCACGGCUAACUACGUGCCAGCAGCCGCAGUAAAAC
rnacentral:rRNA from 1 species